ACUGCAAACCUAAGCAAAAGGCAAGAUUUCCCCACACCAGAGUCUCCAAUCAGAAGCAAUUUGAAUAAAUAGUCACUUAGGAGUCAUGCUGGUCAUGC